rnacentral:rRNA from 1 species
AGCUCCAAUAGCGUAUAUUAAAGUUGUUGCAGUUAAAAAGCUCGUAGUUGGAUUUCUGGUGGGAGCGAUCGGUCCGCCCCGCAAGGGGUGUGUACUAGCGUCGUCUCCGGCCAUCCUUGUGGGAACUGUGCGGCCCUUAGUUGGACUGUAUAUGGGAACACAUCGUUUACUGUGAAAAAAUUAGAGUGUUUAAAGCAGGCUUAAGCCGUUGAAUACAUUAGCAUGGAAUAAUAAGAUAAGACUUGGGUCAUUAUUUUGUUGGUUUGCGGAUCGAGGUAAUGAUUAAUAGGGAUAGUUGGGGGUAUUCAUAUUUAAUUGUCAGAGGUGAAAUUCUUGGAUUUAUGAAAGAUGAACUUAGGCGAAAGCAUUUACCAAGGAUGUUUUCA